GGGAAGAUGGCCGAGUGGUUAUGGCGUGUGGCUCAAGAAUGUACCUACUUUCUUCGUGAUUAAAAAUCACUGGGCUUUCUCAUAGGGAAACCUGCAGGGGUUCGAAUCCCCUUCUUCUCA
rnacentral:tRNA from 1 species